CGUGCGACUCUUGUGUGCGUUUUGCUCUCUCUCUUUGGAGCGUGACGGUUAUGGUUCGGCAUACAGUCGAAAACCAACGACCCCAAAAGAGAGGAGCUCGGCUGCGUUGAUAUACACGCCUACCCAGCCGAACGCAGCGGGCAACGAAAAGCGGAAAGCCAACAGACAAACAAAAAAAAUUGAAGGAAAGAGCUGAGAGAAGUGCGGCGGCUUUCAACCUCGCGAACGGAAAAGGCAACCAAGAAGAGACACAUUGCCGUGAAAGCAGCGCGUGCGGCGGCACCGUUUCCCAUCAAGCCCCUUUACUUCAUCCUCUACUCGUACUCAUCGCCUUCCCCUUCUGCCUCUCCCACUCUCUCUCCCUGUGCGCCUUGCACACGUAGUUGUUUGGGUUCUCUUAUGUUUUUUUUUCUUUUUCGGCUGUUUUCACUUGCGCCGUCUUUUAUGGUCGCUCAUUGCAACUUUUCCCUCCUCUGCUUAUUUUCCAUUUUAUGUUUUCCCCCUUUUCUCUGGGCCCCUCUCGUUCUCGCGCUUCGAGCGAUAGCACGGCUCUUUGGCGCGCCGCGUAAACAUUGUUUUUUUUUUCCGUUUCUUCACUGCCUGUAUAUAUAUAGGGUUUGCACAGAAGCGCACGCCUUCUCGGUGGCGUGAAGACGGCGGCAACUCCACAUCAUUUCGGAUACGCAUCGACGGAAACGUCUCGGUGGCAAUUCUGUUCUUGGUUCUGCGCUUUCUUCCUCGCGCGUCGCCGCCACGCAUUGCUUUCGUUUCGAUCUCCACCCCCUUCUAUCGGUACACUGGAGAAAGACGUGCAACUCUGAUCACCUACAUCACUCUUGUGAUCGCCGACACAUGCGAAGCCAGUUGAUGUAAGGCAGCGAACCAUCUCACCGGAAGUUGUACGAAGUAGACGUCCAGACACGCCACUGGAGACAGCAGAUAGCAGAACGCAACAGUUGAGUGGGCUCCAUCGCUGACGAACUCAGUUCCUCGCGUUUGUUUUUUCCAUCCCUUUCACCCCCAGCGCUGCGCUGCCAGGUCGCUCUUACUUUGGCUGAUCGUAAGAGGCCUCAUCCGUGUCUUCUUUUGUUGUUGUUCUUCGUCGCUGGCGCUCCCGAGGUUGUCUUUAGUCGUUGGUAACGCGCCUUUUUCCCUUUCUUUCGCCGUGUCGUCCUCUUGCGCGUGUAUAUCGUCUGCUCAUCGUCUCUUCCUCUCGUCCGCGCUCUUUGUUUUCUGCCGCCUCAGCGAUCUUAUUGGGUGUUGUUGGCGCUCGCACGUGCGUGUAUGUUCUGUGUUCGGGAGGAGAAGGUGACCUUCUUCUACUGGUCACGCUUUUCCUUUUCCUGGUGUUGCCUCUUCGUUCACCCACUUCUCCAUCACAUAGCGCCCACCACCACCACUACCACCACUCACCUUUCUUUCUCUUCCUCUCUCGCUCUGGUUCUCUGCGUGUGUGUGCUGUCGUUUCGUUGUACCUGGCAUUUUCGACGGAUUUCGUGCUUCGCGCCUCGCUGCUUAGAUUCCCAGCCUCUCCUCGCCCCGCCCUCCUCUCCUCACAACGGUGUAUGUCCCACAGCUUGUAGCGGAGUGAGCCAUUUUGCCAGCGGACGCUCCCUUUUCACAAAGAGCCCCCUCUUUUUUUUUUGUUAGUGUGUGCGUCCUUUGGCGCACCCUUUCCCGACCUUUCUGCGGCGGCACGUGCACUCGCGCAUCUUCUGUAUCGAGGGAUUGUCGAGUGCGUGCCGCCUCUUACGUAGCUUUCUGGUUCGUCGUUUUUGUCUUGGCCGAGAUGGACGGCGGCACCCCUGCUGCCCUGCGGACAAGAAAGCACUCUGGCACGUUGCGGGGCAUGCGAUGCGCACAGGACACUGCGUUGAAGGACACCCGCAGCACCGAGGGUAGCCCGGAACCUCUUUGUAGCAAGGCCAGCAGCCCUCGUGGCAACCCGCGGCAGGCAUUGAGUACCACACGCAGUGUAUCUUCGAGUGCCGCUGCAGACAACAGUGGCAGCGCUGCGAUCUCACCGGCAGCGCACUCCCUCGCCAGCACUCUGCAUGACUCGGGCCAGGGAAGUCCGUCUCCGGGCCCGCUGGUGGUCGCGUCGUCCUCGUCAGGUACCGGACAGCGGCGCAGUGGCCACGACGGGCACGGAAGGGUUACAUCAUCCUCCAUCUCGAAAUCGGCGUCUUUGCCGUCGCUUUUGGCUACAUCGUCAUCCGGGCCAACGCUGGGCGAGGACCGGCAGUGGAGCAACAGCGCCGGAGCCGCCGCAGCACCGGCGCGCAAGCAGCCGCGGAGUGUAGCGCAACUGCCCGCACCGCCGGCGCAGGCCGAUCUGGCAGAGAACACAAAGCCGCCUCAAUACAUUCGAAAGAAGCCUCCAGUAAGGAAAAGCGGCACCUCAGAGAGCACUUCGCCUGACUCCACGGCUCUGUCCGAGAACUUCACCGCGUCUACGCCUUUUGCUCAGCUUUUGAAUCCGAAGUCUCAGGGUAGUCCUGGUCUUCCGCGGCGAGGGGCAGAUCCAAAGCGAUUACCCUCUGCUAAAUCUUCUGAUUCGGCAUCGCCGUCGCUGCCCACAUCACCUCCACAACCUGCUGAAGCAGCCCGCAGAGCCUCUCGCCAAGAUGGGGUGCCGCCGGAAGCUGACGCCAGCGACGCAGGACCGCCACCUGCAACCUCCAUGGCGCUCGUGAAGACGAAGCUGGCUGCAGCGCCACAGCCGAGUCGCACGCCAACGCCGGGGUCUUCUCCCAAGGAGUGGACCCCACCAACACACACGCACGAAAGCCCGGAGCACUUGUCCACGGACGAGCCAGAUGUGCUGGUGCCGGCGCACAAGUACGUUUACGAUGUGAAGACGUGUGCGUGGAAGGGGGUGGACACGAUGCUUCGCGUGCUACACCCGAAUCGCGGUUUGAGCCAGGGAACGAUGCGGGUGUGCUUUGCGUUGGAGGAGUUGGACGAGACCGGGUUCAGCUCGCGAAUGGUGGCGAAGAUGUUUCGCCAUAAUAUUUCAAAGGUGGUGGAGAGCGACUACUUCAACGAAGGCGAGGCGCAGUGCAUCUGCGGCAUUUUCGCAGAGAAGUUCAACCGGGUGCAAGUGCCGGCGGGAUUUCAGCGGCACGUCGUCUCGUUCCUGCAGUGCGAGACGGUGCGCAUCAAGCUGAGCGAGGUGCCGGAGGCGUACCAGCACAAACGAUCGGGCUUCUUCUCAUACCGCACAACUGACUCUGCCGACAUCCUCUUCACAAUGGAGCCGCGCCUAGCAGGGAACUUCACCAAGUACACAAACAACUUUGGUGACGUGUACGAUGGCUUUGAGAGGCGGCAGAGUUUGGAGGAGGAGAAGAAGCGGCAUCGCGUACUCAUGGCGGUAGAGGCCUUCUCGCAUUUUACCCUGGUGGAAAGUGGCGGCUCGAUGCUCGUGUGCGAUCUGCAAGGCGUUAAUGACUUCCUUACCGACCCGCAAAUUCACACGGAGGACGGCAAGGGACUUGGCAUGGGCAACAUGGGGCAGGAUGGUAUCCGAAAGUGGAUGGAGGCUCACGUGUGCAACGAGGUGUGCAGAGCAAUAAUGCUCGAACCGCUUUCCAAAGGCCUGAGAAACUUCACGCGAACGGCGGAGAAUGAGAGUCGCGUAAGCUACUAUCAGAUUCUCCGAGCCAAGCUGCGCAGCCAGACCCCGGUGCGCCCCGAGGACAUCAUUCCGCUGUCAAAGCCGCUCUCUCUCAUGUCCGAUGAUGAGCGGUUGGAGUACGCCAUGCGGCUCUCGGCGCUGUUGUCGGAGUGAUCUGCUCUCGGCGUUGCUCUCUCUCGCCUAUGUCCUUUUCGAGUCUCUCUUGUGAUGCGCUUCAUCUACAGCACGAUCGCCCUCUGAGGUGCGCCGUGUGCCUAUGCUGUUCAUCGUGCCUUGCGGCUGCGUCGUGGCCAUCUCGGUCUUUCUUCGUGAACGAAGCUGAAGCGGAUGCCAGCGGCAGCGUUUGCUGUGCUCGUUGUGGGCUGUAGUGACUCGUCUCGUUCCCCACGGUACUGUCGUUCUCAGCUUCAUGCGGCGCACAGAGUAUGCGGAGUGGGCGACGUGCGUGCGUCUGAAUGCACGCUGCGAGGUGCACGAAAAAGAACUCCCUCUGCGUGGGUGUGCGCGUGAACGAGGCUGGCCGCCGUCCAAAACGCAUGCGAGUUUUGGUGUUGUUCUGUGCACGUGAGCGUGCGAUAGGUGUUUCCAUGUCUCUUCUGCGCCUUCCAUUGCCGUUGCCAUGGAGUUUUCAGCACAGACCAAAGCCAUUUUUUUGUUCGGCUCCUCUCCUCCGUAGGUUUCUCUUUUGAGACGCUCCCCACACAGACGCGCACGCGAGCUCGUGUGUCGGUCGGCACAUCUGCUUCAACGCGAUUUGUCUUCCUGCUCGCUGUGGCCACUUUCCGUGAGCGGCCCGUUGUUUCUCCGGCUUCACCGUCACUUGCUCUUACAUGUCUUCUUAUUGCAUUUUUCUUUAUGUGUGUGGGCUGCUGUUGUUCUCAUCCGUUCCGUGCGCCCCUGCAUCGCCUUGCCCAUCGCCAUUUGGAUCUCUCUCUUUUUGGCUGUUUGAAACUCUCGGUCCUGUGAUCGUUGCGAUUUCCAUGUGUUCUGUUCGCCGUACGGCCGCAUACGAGUUUCCUUUUUUUUUCUGCGACGCUCCUCAUAUCUCUAUUGAUAGCAUUCUGUGCCCUCUCCUCCGGCCAAGUAUAGAUAUGUAUGUAUUCCCCCCCCCCAUUUGGAGCUCUGUGCGUCGGGGCGCAGCUGGGGCCUUGAGACGCGUUGCCCAGCAUCUUUUUUUUUUUGCAGUACCACUUUGCCCUCUAAACGGAUUCUCUGGUGCGAAGAAGGAACGCCUCGUUAUGUAAACGUGCCCCCCACUCCCCUCCCCAACACCGCAUUUGGCGCGGCUUUCACUGGGGCUCUGCUCCUCAAUGCGCCUCGGUUGUAGGAAGCCGCCAGCUGUAGGAUCGAGGGCGAGUCGACUCAGCGAAGCGAGCUGUGGAUCAGGACACUCAAAAACGCUGAAGAAACAAUGACAACCCCAAUCAAAAAAAAAAGGAACAUUGCCAUCAUAAGCUUUCUGUUUUUUUUUGUUUGUGUGUCUUUUUUCUCUGCUGCUGCGGUUCGUCGAUCAGUUUGCGUGAGCGUCCGUUUUUCCAUCAGCACCACUCCUUUUAUUUGAGUGUGGGAGCGACAUCGCUGCUGCGCGCGGACCCCCCACCCCCCUUGUCACCUCCUUUUUGCCCUUUCUCCGUUGUAGCAGCCCUUUCUCCCGGAGACAGUGGCCAAUUCUCCCUAAGCCACUUCCUUGUGAUACGGUUUGUCGCCACUUUUGAUGUACGAACUUGGAAAACAAGGAGAUGACGCCAAUCAACCAAGGGGCUGAAGGCACGCUCUUUCGAGACGGAUAUUUGAUGGACGAAACUCAAGUGCCUUUUUCGUUUUAGCUUCUCUUUUAUCCUGCCCAUCUCUGCACGGGGAUCUCUCCGCUUUUGGGGGAUUCCUGCAGCGGCGGGUGCCUGGAAGCGACAGGAUGGAGGUUUAAAUGGUGUGCCGCCUGCUACACCGCUAGAAUGCCCCCCUCACACACACACACACACAGACAUACACCAGAGCCUCCGGCUUCACCUGUGUUUGCUGUGAGGGCGUCGGGCCCGACGUUGUGCCCGAGAUGACACGUGAGGUUGACGGAUAGCUCAAGGCUCAAAAAAACACACCUCGCUCCGCUCCAUCGUCUUGCGCGCAAUGACUCCAUUCCACGCACAUCUCACUCGCGCUGAAUAGGCUUCCUCCCGUACUGCGUGUGCCUACGGCUGCCCCCCCCCCCCCCCGAUGCCCCCUUCAGAAGAAAACGCUGUGAGCUCUGUAUGCAUAGGCACCUGUCUCUGCGCUGGCCCCUUCCGCUUGCCACACACCCACGCCUCUCAG
rnacentral:misc_RNA from 1 species